GUGAGUAACACGUGAGUAACCUGCCCUGGACUCUGGGAUAAGCGUUGGAAACGACGUCUAAUACCGGAUAGGACCCUGGACCGCAUGGUUCGGGGUGGAAAGUUUUUUCGGUCUGGGAUGGACUCGCGGCCUAUCAGCUUGUUGGUGAGGUAAUGGCUCACCAAGGCGUCGACGGGUAGCCGGCCUGAGAGGGUGACCGGCCACACUGGGACUGAGACACGGCCCAGACUCCUACGGGAGGCAGCAGUGGGGAAUAUUGCACAAUGGGCGAAAGCCUGAUGCAGCAACGCCGCGUGCGGGAUGACGGCCUUCGGGUUGUAAACCGCUUUUAGUAAGGAAGAAGGGGAGCUUGCUCCUUGACGGUACUUGCAGAAAAAGGACCGGCUAACUACGUGCCAGCAGCCGCGGUAAUACGUAGGGUCCGAGCGUUGUCCGGAAUUAUUGGGCGUAAAGAGCUCGUAGGCGGUUUGUCGCGUCUGCUGUGAAAUCUGGAGGCUCAACCUCCAGCCUGCAGUGGGUACGGGCAGACUAGAGUGCGGUAGGGGAGAAUGGAAUUCCUGGUGUAGCGGUGGAAUGCGCAGAUAUCAGGAGGAACACCGAUGGCGAAGGCAGUUCUCUGGGCCGUAACUGACGCUGAGGAGCGAAAGCGUGGGGAGCGAACAGGAUUAGAUACCCUGGUAGUCCACGCCGUAAACGUUGGGCGCUAGAUGUGGGGACCUUUCCACGGUUUCCGUGUCGUAGCUAACGCA
rnacentral:rRNA from 1 species